UACGUAGGGUGCGAGCGUUGUCCGGAAUUAUUGGGCGUAAAGAGCUCGUAGGCGGUUUGUCGCGUCUGCUGUGAAAACUCGGGGCUUAACUCCGGGCCUGCAGUGGGUACGGGCAGACUAGAGUGCGGUAGGGGAGACUGGAAUUCCUGGUGUAGCGGUGAAAUGCGCAGAUAUCAGGAGGAACACCGGUGGCGAAGGCGGGUCUCUGGGCCGUAACUGACGCUGAGGAGCGCAAGCGUGGGGAGCGAACAGG
rnacentral:rRNA from 1 species